GCUGGGCACAGUGGUGCACACCUGUAAUCCCAGUGGCUUGGGAGGCUGAGGCAGGAGGAUCAUGAGUUCAAAGCCAGCCUCAACAAAAAUGAGGCCCUAAGCAACUCAGUGAGACCCUGUCUCUA
rnacentral:sRNA from 1 species